GGGGUGUCCCAGGGUCCUAUCUCGCUGAGCCGCUCGCAACUACUUACCGCGCGCGAAUCCUCCAGGGCAGCUGAGUUAGCCAGCCAGAGAAGCCCGCCCCCGGCGACUGAGUCUGCACUCGGGACCGGAAAUACGUCCCCGAGAGUGCGUCACUUCCGGCAGGCUAAUGUACCUAGCAUUGUGUGCUGAAUGUUCUUCAUAAUUGCUUACUUCACUCUUCACUUCAUCCUGAGAGGGAGGAUUAGUACUACAGAAUGAAACAUGAACUGGACGCAGGACUCGGGGGGGAAGAGGAGGUCUUGACUUUUGUGAAUAAGACUCUGUGACCCAAGAGCCCCCAUAUGUUCCAUAAGCACUAUCUGCAGCUGGAGCCUCUGCCUCCAAGAGGCUGGAUUUGUUACUUGCAUCGACAGUGAGAUGGUAGGUAACCUGUGGCAUAGGUGAAGCCGGAGAAAGGGAUUAGCAUAACCUACUGAACUGUUACGUGAGGAGAUGGUUGGAGAGAGGAGACAAGGCGCCGGAACAGCUAUGGUGCUUCUCCAGGGACAAAGGCCUCAGCAUCCAGACACCCUUAGGACGGGGAGUGGCCUCUUCUUUAAAGCUUGGCUCUUGUGGUUCUUUUUGCCUGACAGCUUGCUUGACGUGAGGCAUCAUUCCCAGUUUCUCUGAAUUAUACCGUUAGUUUCCUUCUUGGCGCUCAUCCCCACCUCUCAUUUUAUCUGCUUUGCGUACUGACCACCUCCCCCAGAUAAAUACGCCCUCAAAGCAAGGAACUUGGUUUCUUUUGCUCACCGCUGUAUCAUCAUUGCCUAGCACAGCACCUGGCACUUGGUGGGCUCUCGGUAGCGUUAUUUAAUAAAUGCUUUCUGCACUGCUUGCUGGUGGAGGAAGCCACUCUAGGCUUGCCGGGACCCACACAAGAAUGCUGGUGUCAGCUGAUUGGGCACAGUGGGGGCUGUGAGGCCCGAGAACUGGGCCAGUCAGAGGGCGAGUGGAUGGGCCCAGGGGCACAGGCAGUGGAGAAGUUCGGAAGCCAGCUUCCCUCAGCCUUAGGAUACCCAGUGGCCAGUGUUCCCCGGGAGAAGGACCCGGACUUAUUUUGGGGGAAAGAGGCAAAUGUCAACUAAAUAAAUUCACUGGGAAUUUUAUGAAAGCUCACACAGCACCAGUACACACACAUUCAGGGUCUGCCAUGGGGCGCAGAACACCUGGGACACAGUGCACCGGCCUGACUUUCAGGUUAAGAGCUCUAGAGCUCCAUACUGAGCUCUCUGAUCGAUCUCUUAUUACACACACACUCACCAUAUAGCUAACAUAUUCUAGUACAGAUAUAUCAAAUAUAUCCUAUGUAGGAGAGAUGUAUUUUAAAAUAUCAAAACAGAGAGGGAGGCAAACUGUAAGAGAUGGCUAAUCAUAGGAAACAGACUGAGGGGUGCUGGAGGGGAGAGGGGUUGG